UGGGUGUGCCUGCUGGCCAAAUCUUUGACCCUUUAACAACCGAAAAUUGUCUUUUUGGUCUACCCGGUGUGUGUUUCUUGGGUACAGUCCAGAUAAUCUUGGGUUCAAGUGCCUUGAUUGGUUCACUGGCCGAAUAUAUGUCUCCCUUGACAUAGUUUUUGAUGAAACAGUCUAUCUGUUCUCUGUUGACCACUCCCAAAAUUCCCAACCCAUUGAAGAUUUACUUCUUCUUCCGGAACCAGCUAGAGAUUCAUCAACGUGUACUGAUACGGACUGUGCUACUAAUCUGGUUCCCAGUGAUGCUGUUUCAGGUGCAGGCGAUCAUGUCGAUCAUACAAUGCAUGGCGAGCAUGCUCCUAUUCACGUCGAUCAUGGGGCGCCGGCUCCCGCGGCCCAGGACAACCAUGCGGCCCAAGACGAUGCGGUCUCAGACACGGCCUCGGAGCCUGCCUCGCCUCCGUCUCCUCCCACACCGACGUGUGGGCCGGCCCAUGGUGCGGAUCGUGACUCUCCCUCAUCCUCUCCGUCUGCUGCCUCCUCACCAUCACCAAGUCCUGAACCUGUACCUGCACCUGCUCAACCUAUGCGCACUAGGCUGCAGAAUAGCAAAGUUCUCCCGGUUCGCCUCUAUGAUGGGAUCAUCCGAUAUGACCCGUCUAAGCGAGCCUUUGCGGCUGAACCCACGUCUCAUCAUGAUGCUUUGGCUAUUCAUGCCUGGAAAACUGCUAUGGAUGCGGAGUUUGCUGCUCUCCGCCUCAACAACACCUGGCGUCUCGUGGAACCGCCUCGUGGUCAUCAUGUCGUCGGCUGCAAGUGGGUAUUCAAGGUCAAGCAGAAGUCUGAUGGCACCAUUGAUCAUCACAAAGCCUGUCUCGUCACGAAGGGCUUCACCCAGCGUGCUGGUAUUGACUACACUGACGCGUUCUCCCCGGUGGUUAAACCCACCACAGUUUUGUUGAUCUUGUCCAUCGCCGUUUCUCGCGGCUGGGCUCUUCGUCAAGUGGAUGUUCAAAAUUCCUUCCUCCAUGGAAAUAUCCAGGAGGAGGUAUACAUGUCUCAACCGCCAGGAUAUGUUGAUCCAGAUCAUCCUCAUCAUGUCUGUCAUUUGCAGAAAUCACUUUACGGUCUUAAACAGGCGCCAAGAGCGUGGUAUUCCAAGCUGAGUGUCAAGCUCCAGUCCAUGGGUUUCAAGCCAUCCAAAGCAGAUACCUCCCUGUUCAUUUUCCUUGACCCACGAGUCACCAUCUAUAUGUUGAUCUAUGUGGAUGAUAUCAUCAUAGCCGGUUCCUAUCAACAGACUGUAGAAAAGCUCCUGAAGCAGCUUCGUGACUCUUUCGCUAUCAAGGAUCUCGGGGAACUCUCCUACUUUCUUGGAAUAGAAGUGACAAAGGCGUCUGAUGGAAUAGCCCUAUCUCAGACCAAGUAUCCUACCGAUCUGCUUUAGAAAGUGAAUAUGCAGAAUUGCACGGGUAGUUCAACACCCAUGUCGUCAUCCGACAAGCUCAGCAAGAAUGCUGGCACUAUACUCACUGAAGCAGAAGCCUUUGUCUAAAGGAGCACGGUGGGAGCUUUGCAAUACCUGUGCCUGACACGGCCAUACAUUUCCUUCACUGUAAACAAGGCAUGCCAAUUCCUCUUUGCUCCCACAGAUGUGCACUGGUCUGUAGUUAAAAGAGUGCUGCGAUAUGUGAAAGAAACUCUGAAGGUUGGACUCAGCAUACGACAUUCCCAGUCCACAGAAUUAAGCAUGUAUACGGAUGCAGAUUGGGCUGGGUGCCCCGAUGAUCGCCGAUCAACUGGAGGCUACGCGGUGUUCUAUGGACCCAAUCUGAUAUCUUGGAGCUCUCGAAAACAACCUACUAUCAGUCGGUCGAGUACCGAAGCGGAGUAUAAUGCCAUUGCAAAUGGCACGGCAGAGGUGACAUGGCUGCAGUCAGUUCUUCGAGAGUUGGGUGUGUUUCAGGCUCAAGCUCCAAUUCUAUGGUGCGACAAUCUCGGUGCAACUUUUCUCACAGCCAAUCAUAUGUUUCAUGCUCGAACAAAACACAUCAAAAUCGAUUUCCAUUUUGUACGAGAGAAGGUGUCAGCAGGAGCACUAAAGGUGCGGUUCAUCUCUACACAGGAUCAAAUUGCUGACAUAUUCACGAAGGCCCUUGGCAAGGAGGCGUUUGAUCGAAUGAAGUAUGGAUUGAAUCUGGUUAGCCCUUGUUUGGAUUGAGGGGGACUGUUAAACGGAGUAGGAUGGCGCAUGUGCGGAUACGAUCCUGUCACGUCAGGCUAACUAGACUUGCGGUAGAAGUUGUAAUCCUAACCGAAUUGUAAACCCUAGAUUGUAUGUGUAUAUAUAUAAAGAGUACACGCCUACCCUUGAGAGGUACGGAGAUUCAAUCCAAUCUACUGUUUAUACAAUAUCUAGUGAAAGAUCGCCCACCUCUGGGCCACCGGAUGAAGCUAGGUUCAUCACCUCGAUUGAUCUACGUGGCUGCCGCAACGAGAUCUCAGCCAUCUCUUUGCCCUUUCCCAUAAGGGGCCCUAGGCUGACCGAGUCGCCUGCUCUCGAUCGAGUCGAUGAAGAGGCUACUCGACGGAGAGUGUCUUCCUCAACACCAUGCGCAAGGGCAAGCGUAAAGAAUAACUCAGCGUCGGUCUUCGACUGAUACUGGCAGUACUCCUCUAACGGGUCAUGACUUGCCACAAAGAAGUCAAUAAGGCCAUUCAAUGACUCCGGCACUGACCCAUCAGGAGUCAUCUUGCUGAUUACGGUAGUCAGAAUCUUCGUCACUUCUCGGAGCUUGCCCCUGGCUUCAGCAUUGAUGACUUCAAUGCUUUCUAAAGCAUCAUUGAAGCUCUGGCUUCUCUCUUUGAAUUGAACCUCAGCGGAAAUGGAGAAACGGUCAAUUUUACACGAGAAGGAAAAGCCACUUGAGUAACAGAUUCAAACGCUCACCAGCGACAGAGCGAGUAGCACUUUCGAGUCGCUCGAUCCAAACCUUCUACCGCUCUUUCUCUGUGGAAGUACGGGAGUCUAUACGUUGCUGAAGAUGACUCUUUUCGGCGGCCGCUUCCUGCAGCUCUUGGCGACAUUAACUUAGCUCUGCUCGAAGUCGCUCCUGAUCUGCCUUCGUCUCCUCAGACUCUCCAAUAAGAGUUGUCAUGGAGCGGAUGAUUGGCUAAAAACAAGAAGCAAUCUCAAGUCAUUUCUUGAGUGCCACUUCCAUCGCGAGGCAACAUAAUAGCAAACGACAAAUUUGCUCACGAGUUGACUCGACGCAGGAGCCGUCGCCUGAGGAAUGCUCGACUCAUCUGGUCGACUUCCUUCCCUCGGAUUGGCCGCCAAAGUUUCUUCGGUGUGAGCUGCCUUUUCUUUAGUCGGCUGGUCCGACCCUUUCGAGUCUGGACCAGUCGAUUGAGUCCCGGGAGCCUUUUUGCUCUCGACUGAGCCACCAGUAUGGCUAAGUAAGAAGUUUUUAGACGUCUAGUCAAAAUCUCUAGGAUACUGAAGUAAGAUGGCUAAAAGAUUCACCUGGCACGGUUGGAUCGUGCAAAAAGACCAGAGCGACGAGUCGCGACUGGCCCGUCGGACUUGGUCCUCUUGAAUGCAGGUACAUACACCGAUGGCUCGACAUUCGGGUCCAUCGAGCCAGUCGUUUGGGUCUGUACCGGCGGGUCAUUAUCCUCUCUGCCGCGCUUCUUAGAUCAUUAUCGGGUCCCUGAAAUCAAAGCCACGGUCAGAACUAAUUCAUGCCAAAAACGACAAGGUUUAUCAGAUGCUUCGGUGAUCACCUUUUCUCGGGGCCUGUCGGGUCCAUAGGGAGCCACUGGAGGGUCAAUCUCGCAGGUCUAUGACUCGCCCAAGUCAGUAAGCCGCCUAACUCGUCGACACACUUCAGUCGAACGAAAUUCCUUGGUACUAAUUCAGGUCGGAUCACGAACCCCUCGAUAUGCCAACAUGGGAUGAGCACGAGCCUGCAACGGCUGAAUUCUUCUCCGGAUAAAAGCGGCGAUGAGGUGAACUCCAGUCACCUUCAACUGAGGAGUCUCCAUGAGACACAGGAAUCGGACCAACAGAGUCUUGGCUUCUUCGCCCUCUGUUCCUCCCAACUUAUGGCUCCAGGCUGUCGUCUUCUUCACCGACGUGCUCGCGGAGAAUUCGGGAAGACUGAAGCCGCGCCCUUCGACCGGCACAUCCAUGACAUAAAACCACCUCGAUUUCCAUCGAGAAGAUGAUUCUCUCUCGGAGGUUGAAGAAUUUGGCAUCCGCCUGAGUUUGAAUGUCCACACAUCCAAUCGCGUCCUUGCCCUAGCGCUUGAUGGUGAACAUUCUCUUCCAGAGACCCAUAUGGGGAUUUAUUCUGAGAAAGCAUUCACACAGCGUCACAAAGCAUGCGAUGUGGAGGUAGGAGUUUGGAGAAAGAUUAUGAAGUUGGAGCCAGUAGGCCAAAAGCAAUCUAUGAAGGAAAUGGUGGACUGGGAAUGCUAACCCACGAGUGAAGAAAUCAUAAUGCACCACUCGCUCACCUUGCAAGGGGCAAGGGAUUACCUCCUCGCUGGGAAAACGCACAUGCCCCGACCGUGGGGACAGCAGACCUUCCUCUUGCAUGCCGGCCACCCUCUCGCGAUCCACGGAAGACAACGGCCAAGCUUCCGCGCUUCUCUUGUUCUUCCCCAUCUCGCUGGGUCGAAGGACGUGAUUAACAGGGACUACGAAGGGUUUUGGCUAUGGAAGCUAAAGUCUUGGGCGCCUGAGCUCUGGGUGCGAGGAGGAAGAAGGGUUAAAACUAAAUUUACCCCACCUCCAUUUUAAUCCUUGCCCUAGCAGAAAAUCCGGGACACACGAUCUCGGUCGUGGCCACGUGCUCCGCAUCAAUCGGAAUACGAAAGGGCGAAGAUGAAAAUAACUGCUUACUUCAUGGGCGCGAUAACCAAUGAGAUCAUCAUUGUGUCUUGUUUACUUCACGAAGUGUGAUCAUUUGUCCAUUGGCGCAUGCCUACAGUGUGCCUAGCUGUCAGGCUAGGCUGUACAUCCAGUCAAAUCGGAUGACUAAACGGCUUUUCACCUCCAGCAGGUACGUCAUCAAUGACAAAGUCUGACGCGAAUAUCUUGACUCGAAAUUAUCUCCCAUACAGGAUGAUGGAGUUUAUCUUAAAUGUUGACACUCAUCUUGAGUCUUGACCGUGAAUACCAAGACUCUCAUUCGAGUCGCGAACUAACCAGUUGUUGCUUUAUACUAGCUAAAGACUUCAUUCAAUUAGCUAUUGUUUAUUCUUUAUUCAUAACAGCAAAAACAGGGCAAUGACCCUGACACAAACAGUUGAUUUCAUAUAAUCGACUCAAGUGAGUCGCACCAACUGCGUCACCUCAGUUGUUUAUGCUCAUUCGCAUAACAGUAAGUCUCUUGGGUUUCGUCCGAAGAGCCUGGAGUCGCACCAGCUGCGUUGCUCUAGUAAAAUCCAUGUUCAUUGCAUGAAGAUAAGCCUCAUGGAUCUCUCCACCAAGUCUGAAAUCGUACCAGCUGCGCAUUUCAGUAAAUCCAUGCUCAUUGGAUGAAGAUAAGACCCGAAAGUUCUCUUACGGGUCUGGGAUCGUACCAGCUGCGUUAUCUCCAGUCAAAUCCAUACUCAUUGUAUGAAGGUAAGUCCUAAAACUUAGGCCUGGAUAUGCAUCGAUUGCAUCUCUCCAGUAACAAUUUUCACUUAAGGGUCACUCCCUGCAACCAUGUUCAUUACAUGAAGAUAAGACCCAUAGGCUUCCUAUAGGGCCUGGAAACGUACCAGCUGUGUAUUUCUAGUUCAGGCAAUCUUGAUAAACGAGUCGAGUACUUAAAAACUGGAAUUUGACUCUAUAAGACCCCAGCAGUCUAAGUCAAAAUUCGCCAGUCGCUAGGUUCGAGUCCAGGGACUCGAAUGCUGAUGAAAGCUAGUGUUGUUUUCGCCCUAGAGCAAUUAACUGGACUCGACCUCUCGAGUAUCUGGGCGCAUUAAGCAUAUAUCCCUAUGACUCCUAUUCACCGCAUUGAUUCAAUAUAAGCUCAUAUUGUGGAACUGUUAAUUAACAGUUAAGCAUUAAAAGCAUCGACCCAGACAUUCUCUGAGUCAAAAAUACUUCUCAUUCGUAGUACAAAUCAAUGGAACUCCAUGUCUGCAGCAUUAUGCAACUGGGUCAACAGCAAAAUAAGCUCAUUCUUUACGGGAAAAGUCCCUAGUCGAGUCUUCGACUCAACCAGACACUUGGGGGAUACUGACGUGGUUAUGACUAACCACGUACUCGACUCAAGUAUACCCGGUACAGCCCAGCUGGGGGCCCACAAGGAAUCCUACCUCGACUCUAGGAGUCUACAUGCCAAAUCUUGCGACUCAAGAUAAGGAAGGUUAAUUAGAUUAUAUUCCCUCAUUGUAACCGACUUAGACUCUACCUGAGACCUGAGUUCCAGCAUAUAUAAAGGACUAGGAGGGGGAGCCAAGAGGACACCCCAACUUAGAUACAAGUCACCUAGACGCACUCGACGACUCGGUGCAUCUAGACUCUGCGGCACCCCAUUGUAAUCAACUCAUCAAUACAGAUCCGACAAGCAGGAUGUAAGGGUAUUACCUCAUCGAGGGCCCUGAAACUGGGCAAAUCGUGUCCCAUGUGUCCUUGUUAACCGACGAGUUCACCAACACACAGUUAACUUUCCUUGAUAUAAGUCCAUCAAUAUGGACAUUGUCGAAGUUACAUCUUCAUCAAUAGGCAUUAGAGUCGAUUAGACGCAGCCUCGAGUGUCGGGUGCGUCCAAGAAAUGCAUUCCUUUGGGUCCAUCCUUUCGAAUGGAUGAGAGCUAUGAAUUGAGCUUUGCGUUGUUUGGCUUGCGAUAAGAUGUUAUGCAAAGCUUGGGCGGAGCCCCCGAGUAGGUGGCGAGCCCAAAAAGUAAAUGAGAGAUCUCUGUGUAGAGAAUAUUGAAAGCUUUAUUGAGUACCAGAGUACAUGAGUGAAACUGAAAUAAUUGUGACCUACGGAUGCUAAUAAAAGUUGUAGGGGAAAACAGGGGAAGAAAAAACGCUGGAAAACAGUUGUGCGACGUUCCAAGGCCUGUUGUAUGUGACACCACUCUUCAUGUCUUUGAGAUAGUAAGCAACUCCUGGAAUCACCUUGGUGACCACGUAUGGUCCCUCCCAAGGGAAUUGGAGCUUGUGAUGACCCUUUUGCUUGAGUCGUAGUACGAGGUCACCUUCGACGAAGGAGCGGGUGCGCAACCUACGGCUGUGGUAGUUACGCAGGCCCUGUUGAUAGACGGCUGCUCGUGCGAGCGCAACGUCGCGGGCUUCGUUGGCAGCAUCAAGUGCAUCCUCCAUUGGCAUGUCAAUUUCCGGUCCAGAGUACGCCAUGACUCUAGGAGCAUUGAACCGGACGUCGGCUGGUAGCACUGCUUCAGCACCGUAUACCAUGAAGAACGGUGUGAACUUGGUACAGCCGUGUGGAGUUGUCCGCAGACUCCAGAGUACGGAGGGUAGUUCUUCGACCCAUGCACCGGCUGCGCGAUGCAGGGGAGUCAUGAGUCGUUUUUUGAUGCCGACUGUGAGCAGGCCGUUCGCCUUUCUGACCUGCCCAUUAGUCUGUGAAUGCGCAACUGCUGCGUAAUUGAGGUGGAUUCCCAUCUAUUCACAAAAGUCCUGGAACUCGUUAGAAAGGAAGUUUGACCUGUUGUUGGUGAUAAUGCUGUGAGGGACUCCGAAGCGGAAUACGAUGGAGCGAAUGAAUGUGACGGCAGUCGUUCCCGUGGCAUUUGUGAUGGGCAUUGCCUCGAUCCAUUUGGUGAACUUGUCGAUGGCGACAAGCAGGAAAGAAUGACCCCCUUCUUUUGAUCGUUGAAAAGGCCCGACCAUGUCGAGUCCCCAUUGAGCGAAAGGCCAAGCCAAUGGUAUUGUUUUGAGUUCUGAAGCCAGGGCAUGCGGCUUAAUUGCGAACAUCUAGCAGGCCACGCAUCAGGUGACAAUGUCUGCGGCGUCUUGCAUCACUGUCGGCCAGUAGAAUCCGGCUCGAAAAGCCUUUGCCGCGAUAGCACGGCUGCUCACAUGGUGACCGCAUGUGCCUUGAUGUAUGUCGAUCAAAAUCUCCAGUCCUUCCUCAGGUGGGAUGCACCGUUGCAGGAUGCCGGAGACGCUUCGUUUGUCGAGCUCGCCUUCAAUGACAGUAAAAGCUUUAGACCGCCUAGCAAUUCGACGUGCUUCUGUGACGUCUGCAGGUAGCUCUUGUCGUAUCAUGUACGCAAGAAAGGGUUGCAUCCACGUCGGCUCGACCAUGAGCACCUCAUCUGGUUCUUCUUCACCGGUUGCGACUGCAGGGUCGUCCGGUGAGUCAGGGUCGAGAGGUUUUUUCUCACCGUUGAUCAGUAUUGACUUCUGGGUACUCGAAGUAUUCUUUUCCUUGAUGGAUCUCUGGUGGAUGAUCUCUAACAAUACUUCGGACGGGAUUGGGAACGAGUCGAGCCGAUGUUGGCCAGACUAUCCGCUUCGUCAUUGCUGUUUCGGCCAAUGUGAGGCAGCUCGCAUCCGUCAAACUGGCCUUCCAGUACGUUGUAGAGAUCGCGAUAAGCAAUCAUGGAGUCGGAAAUGGCAUUACACGACUUCAUCGUUUGCUGAACGACGAGGUAAGAAUGCCGUAUAUCAUGAGCCUCGUGGCCCCGCAAGCUUUGGCCAUGCGCAUGCCAUGCAAGAGGGCCUCGUACUCGGCUUCAUUGUUUGAAGGGUUGUGAAAAUGCAUCUAAAGCACGUAGCGGAGUCUGUCACCUUUGGGCGAAAUAAGCACGACACCCGCGCCUGCCCCUUAGUGUCACUUCGACCUGUCGAAGUACAUUGUCCAUGAGCUUGACAUGUCGGGCGGGACCAGAAUCUGAGCCUCUGUCCACUCGGUGAUGAAGUCGGGGUGCACUUGUGAUUUGAUCGACUUCCGCCGCUCGUAGGUUAUGUUGCGAGCCGAGAGCUCGAUUCCCCACUCGGCGACUCGUCCAGUCGCUUCAGAGUUGUUCAGGAUGUUGUCGAGAGGAGCCUCACUGACAACCGCAACUGUGUGUUGCUGGAAAUGUCUUAGCUUGCAUGCUGUUAGAAAGACUCCAUACGCAAGCUUUUGAUAGAGGGGAUAGCGUUGCUUUGUAGGCGAGAGGACUUCCCUGAUGAAAUAGACUGGGCGCUCAACACCGUGGGUGAAGCGAUCCUCCCCCUUACAAAGGGUUCGAUCUCUGUGCUUACCGUGCUAGUCCCUGGAUCAAAAGUAUAUUACAUCGCAUUGAUCCAGAAUUUAAUAGUACCUUACAUAUUGCAUAACCUCAUGGGUUAUCUCGAAAGAAAAUAAAAUAUUGCAGCGGAAGGCAGAAGAUACAGGAGUCCCAUAACAACUCCACAGUCGAAACAUGUUGGAAUGUAAACUCGCAACCCUAACAAUUCGUACCUCACUCUUCACCUGGUUCACCUACAACAUUUAAACGUUGCAGCCACUAGGGGGUCAAUACAUUGAAUGUAUUGGCAAGUUCACCAAAAGGGUUAUAACAGAUCCUAUCAACUACAUGCAGUAUUUGGCUAGGUGGGGUUUGGCUAUUUGCAUAAAAGCAUCAUUGUUUCAUUCUAUAAUUUUUAAACAAUUAGUUUUGAUUCUAUUGGACACGGGGUAGAAACACCCAUGCUCCUAUUAACCUAGGCACAUUGAGUAGAAACAUCAAUGCUCCUACCCAGUUCAAACCAUUCGUUUUAUUAGGAAAUUAGAAUGAGUAAAACCUUCCUUACAGCUCCAAUAUCUAGUUGCUCAUAAUUGUCCGUAACCGGCGACACGGCUAAGUACUUAGUUUGACACUCUCGAGAGGUUGUACACAUUCCCCACAGAAAUCGUCGUGUUAAUCCCUUGCUGUCCUCAGGGUAGAGUAGCAACGGCAUCGAUUACAGGAAUUUUCAGACCAUAAUCACCCAGACCACCUGAGGGACCUACGUUCCCACCUACACGGCUACAUCUGCACAAUCCCUCGGAUCCAGGAUCAUAUGUCUUACUUCCAUCCUGGCAGAGCCCAUAUUACCAUGUGGUUGUACUGGAAGCUACUAAACAGGAAACUAGUCCAGUCUCUGGUUACCCCGGGUGGCAUCCCACAUUGUGACGCAGGCGCUCCCCGAAUCGCACGGGGAGACGACCAUGGACGCUCCAGAAUCGGACGGAGAGACAACUCAGCGGGCCCCAUAGAAAUGGACCUAACGUCACGACAUCCGAAUACUCAAAGCAGCCCACACAGGACGAUUCAUUGAAUUACUUGUUUUGCCAUACACUAGGAAAAUCAUAUUGUAGUUCAAUAGUAUCACAUUGUGAUAAUACCACCCUCAUAUAUUAUCAUAGCAUAGCAUUUAACUACUACGAUGGUGAUUGGUGGUGUGGACAUGGCAAAGGGUAUCUAUACUACUAGGAACAGAUCAUAGCUAGCAUAGAUACAGUAAUAAUCCUAACAAUGCAACUAAUAAAAGCUAGUGCAUAAUAAAAUAAUAGGAUAAAUGAUCAAAGUGAACUUGCCUUGAUAAUAGUUAGAGUUCAAACACUCGUCACAAUCGCAAGGUUCGCUCUCCGAGAAUACUAUACAAUCAACAAACAUACACAUACAUAAACACACCAUACAAGCAAAAGAAUAUGUAUGUUAUGAUCCAAUGCAAAACAUGUGACAUGAGUUUUGGUUUAUUUUAUUUGGGUGAUCUACUGACCCAAGGCGUUGAUAAUUAAGCACAUGCAAUUAGGGUUUUUAAAUAAAUUGCAAUGGCUAGGAUUUAAACCCUAAAAUGAGGUUUAUUGGCAUCAGCCAAAUAGAUUAAUUCAAAAUAUUUAUUUCUCUAUCCCAUUGGACAGAGGACAAUAAAAAAAAAAUUUGGGCACUGGUUUCAUUCAAAAAGGACUUCUAGAUAAUUAGUUAUGAAUUAAAUGGCAUAGAACUCUAUUCUGCAAUUUGAAUGUGAUUAAAAUAUUCAAAUUUGAAAUUGGACAGCGCCAAAAGAUUCUAAAUUUCGUAAGGAUUCCAGAAAGGUGUGGUUCAAAUUUUUUGGUCAAACGGAUUUAAAGCUAUGAUCAUUUGAAGUUAGAGGGGCCUAUCUGCAAAAUGCCAUUUAAUUAUUCCGGGGAAUUAAAAUUAGAUUUUCAUUUUAUAAAAAAAAAAGGUGCCACGUGGCGCUACGUGAUAGGCCGGUACCGGUUCACUUAAAGAUUUAAUCCGGAUCUAAUCCAGGCCGUUCACUAGUGAUCCGACGGCUGAGAAGAGAUGGGGCUUACCUGGCGGCGCUAGGGCUUGCCGGAGACGAGGAAGACAGCGGCGGCGGCUUCGGGCGGCGACGACACGAUGGCUUCUGGCGGCGGCUCGGCUCGCGAAACGGAGGAAAGGGUGCGGCUCGGGGAGGCGGCCUCGGCGGUGGUGGCGGCGGCUUCGCUCGGGGAGCUCGGACGCGAUGCCAGGGACGACGAGACCGGCGGCCGGCGGCGACGGCGAGCACGGGUGACGGCGCGGGGGCUUCUGGCGACCAAAAUCAAAAUGGGUCGCGUCACUAGGUGCGCACGGAGGAGAGGAGGAAGAUGCGGGGUUCGGCGGCGCGUAAACCUCACCGGAGCGGUGGCGGCGGCGCAAAAACGGCGGCGGCCGGGCGCUUCUCCGGCGAGAGAUUUCUCGAGCCUGGGGGCGCAAUAGAGAGGGGAAAGAGGGGGAAGAGAGAGAGGGAAAGCCAGGCUUUAUAGGGGCGUGCUCGGGCAGCUGCGGGGAUCGCGGAAUCGACGGGAAUCCGGGGAAGGCGGCGGCGGACACGGGUGGGACGAGCGGCGCGAUCCGCGGGCGCUUGCCCAGGGUAGGAGACGACCCGACAGGUGGGGCCCACCUGUCGGUGACUCAGCGCGGCGUGCGGGGCUGGGCUGCGGCCUGCUCGGGCUCGAGCGCGCGCGCGGGACUGGGCUGGUUCGGCCCAAAACGGCCGGGCCAGUCCAUUUCCCCCUUUUUUUUUCUUUUAACCUUUUUCUUUUCUGUUUUUCUUAUUUCUUUGAUAUCUUUUGAUUUUGAACUCCAAAUUGGUCCAAAUAAAUUCCAGAAAAUUUGUAAAAUCAUGUUCUACCAAGAUACAACUUUUGGGAGUAGUUUCCCCUCAAAAUAAAAUAUAUAAAAAUACAUUUGCCCUAUAAAUGCCUUUAGGGCCAUACAUCUAUUUAAAUAUAAUACUUUUUCAACUCCAAAUAAUUAUCCAAAAAUUAUGGGAUAGCUUAUAUAUGCACUAAACCCCUUUUAUGCAUAAGCCCUAUUGGUUUGAAAAUCCAAAGCUCAAAAGGGUGUAAACCAAAUCUUUUAAAGCCUUUUGAGAUUCAAAUUUGAAUUCAAACAAGCAAUUGUGGCAUGAUGCUCAUGGAUGCAAUGCAUAUGUAAAAGUUUGAAAUUUUUGGGAUGUUACAGUGGGUCUUGCCAUCUUCGGCUCACUCAACUACAAUCGUUGUGCAGACCACCUGAGUGGUGGCUGCGAUGUACAAUAGGAGCUGCUCAUCUUCUUGUGGAGCGACGAGGAUCGGCGAGGUUGACAAUAGGCGCUUCAAGUCUACGAAAGCAGCACUGGCCUCUGGUGUCCACGCGAAGUUGUCCUUCUUCUUUCUCAAAAGAUGGUAGAAGGGCAAGGCUUUCUCGCCUAGCCUACCGAUGAAUCGGCUCAGGGCCGCGAGUCGACCAGUGAGCUGCCGGAGCUCAUGAAUUUUAGACGGCUCCGUCAUGGUUAGGAUGGCUGUGAUUUUUGUCAGGUUUGCCACGAUGCCUCGAGCCGACAGAAAGUAUCCAAGGAGUUGCCCGGCGGGUACCCCGAAGGUGCACUUGGUUGGGUUCAACUUGAUUUUGUACUUGUCCAGGUUGUCGAAUGUCUCCGGAUGUCGUCGAGAAGCGUUUCUUCUUUCUUCGUUUUUAUGACUAUAUCAUCGAUAUAGACUUGGAUGUUGUUCCCUAGCUGAGGCUCAAGGCAUGCCUGCAUGCAGCGCUGAUAGGUGGCACCUGCGUUUUUGAGCCCGAAGGGCAUUGUUGUGCAACAGAACACUCCAUAUGGAGUGACAAAUGCUAUCUUCUCCUCGUCUUCGACCUUGAGUCAAAUCUGGUUGUAGCCUGAAAAGGCAUCCAGGAAGGACAGUCGAUCGCAGCCGGCGGUUGAGUCGACGAUCUGGUCAAUCCAGGGCAAAGGGAAGUGAUCGCAGCUGGCGGUUAAGGGAUGUGACGUCGACACACAUACGCAACACUAUGGUGUUCUUCUUGGGGACAAGGACGGGGUUUGCUACCCAGGUCUCUAGUUUUAUCUCCCUGAUGAAUUUAGCUUCGAGGAGUCGUUUAACUUCCUCUCCGAUGGCUUGGCGUUUUGGCUCCGAGAAACGCCGCAUGGGUUGUCGCACCGGCUUUGCGUUCUCGUCCACUUUAAGUGCGUGCUCGGCUAAUUCCCUAGGAAUUCCUGGCAUGUCAGCUGGCACCCAGGCAAAGAUUUCCCAACGCUCACGGAGGAACUCGAUGAGCGCGCUUUCCUGUGCAGGAGGAAGGCUUGUAGAUAUUAUAGCGGUCUUGCUAGAGUCAUUUGGAUGCACCUGAACCUCCUUGGUGUCCGCUUUUUUGUUGAACUCGGGCUGAUGAGCCAGUGAAGCGAUCCUCCCCCUUACAGGGUUCGAUCUCUGUGCUUAUUUGUGCUAGUCCCUGGAUCGACUCACUAGCACACACAGUUUCAAGAUGUAAUACCAAGAUACAAAGGUCAAAAUGUACAUUAUUACAUCGUAUCAUCCAGAACUUAAUUGUCCUUACAAAUUUGCAUGACCCCUUGGGUCAGCAAAACAAAUAGAGUUUUAAGAUAACAAGAAUAUUGUUUCAAAAAACUUGCAGCGGAAAGGUAGAGCAAAAGGGCGUCAACUACUCCCAGAGGAGAGAGCAUGUUGGAAUGUAAGCACAUGACUCAAAGAACAUCGACGAACCUCACUCUUCGUCAGAUUCACCUGCAUUAUUGAUUGCAGCCACUACGUGGUCAAUAUAUUGAAUGUAUUGGCAAGGUCACCUGGAAGUUACAACAGAUCCUACCAAGUAUAUGCAAUUGAGGUAUAGUGGGGUUCAGGCUUUAUGGCGUGGUAGCAAAACAUAGUUUAUCCUACUACAAUUGAAUGUUACAAUAUUGUUAACUAAUGGACACCGGGUAGAAACACCGAUGCUCCUACUAAUCUAAGGACAUCGAGUAGAUACAUCAAUGCUCCUAAACCCAAGUUCAACCCAUUCAUUUUAUUUAAGAAAUUGGAAUGAGUGAGACCUUCCUUACAGCCCCAAUAUCUAGUUGCUCAUGAUUGUCCGUAACCGGGGACAUGGCUAAGUACUUAGUUUGACACUCUCGAGAGGUUGUACACAUUUCCCACAAGAAUUCGACGUGUUAAUCCCUUGCUGUCCUAGGGUAGAGUAGCAACGGCAUCGACUUCAAGAAUUUUCAGAACAUAAUCCCCCAGACCACCUGAGGGACCCACGCUCCCACCUACACAACUACCUCAGUACAAUCCCUCGGAUCUGGGUUCAUAUUUUUUACUCCAUCCAGCCAGAGCCCAUUUAGCUUGUGGUUGCACGGGAAACUACUAAACAGGAAACUAGUCCACUCUCUGAUACCUUAGGUGGCAUUCCACAUUUGCGAUGCAAGCGCUCCCCGAAUCCAUGGAAGAGACGUCCAUGGACGAUCCAUCUCCGAAUCCAUGGAGACUCGACUCAGAGGGACCCAUAGAAAUGGAUCUGACGUCGCAUAACAUCUCGAAUACUCAAAGCAGCCCACCUAGGAUGGUUUAUUAGGGUUGUUUUGUCAAGUUUCCAAAAUCACUCCACAUCAUCAUUUCACAGUUAUUGAGAUUCCCUCCCACGUUUACUAACAUAGCAUGGCUAAGCAAUACUAAUCACGAUGGCUAUUGGUGGAGGAUUCAUGGCAAAGGUAAUUCUAUAGCUAGUAGGUCAAUCAUAGCUAAAAGUACGAGUAAUAGUCCUAUCAAUGCAUUUCUACAAACAACUCUAAAGCAUAAGUAUUUUAAAAACAACAGUAAUAGGAUAUGAUCAAAGUGAACUUUCCUUGGUAGCAGUUGUAGUUCAAACACUCGUCACAAUCACAAGGUUCGCUCUCCGAGAAAAACUAUUCAAAUACAAACAAUAUACACACACAUAAACACACAAUUCACAUCAUGACAAAAGAAAGUAUGCUAUGAUACGAUGCAAGCAUGUGACAUGAUUUGGUUAAUUUUAUUUGGGUGAUCAACUGAUCUUAAGCAUUGGUAAUUAAAACAAAUGCAUUAGGGUUUUAACAAAAAGGCAAAAACAAUUUAAAUAACACCCUGAAUUAUAAUUUUAUUGGCAUCAGCCAAAUAAUUUAAUUCAAAAUAUUUAUUUCUCUGUCCCAAUGGACAGAGGAUAAUAAAACAAAUUUUUGGGCACAAAAGGAUUUAAAAAAAAUUAGUUAUGAAUUAAAUGGCAUUAAACCCUAUUCUGUAAAUUGACUGUGAUUCAAAUAUUCAAAUUUAAAUUUAAACAGUGCCAAAAGAUUCUAUAGGUUGAGAGCUUUCCAAAAAGGUAAAGUUUGUCAAAUUUGGCCAAAGGGUUUAAAAGUUAUAAGCUUUUGAAGUUGCAGGGCUUUUAUGCAAAAAUGCCAUUCAUUCUAAACCGGGAUUAAAAUUUUAUUCUCGUUUUUAUUUAAGCAGUGACACGUGGCAUGAUCUUAUUGGACGGUACCGGUUCGUUUAAAAUGAAAAUACGGGAUCUAAUCUCGGCCGUUGAUUUAGAUUGGACGGACGAGGGGAGUCAGGCUCACCUCCAGGAACCUUAGGGUUCCGGCGAGCAGCUCCGGCGGCGACGCGGCAUGGGCAGGGCGGCGGCGGGGUGUUCCGGCGAUCCUCGGAGCUCGGGAAAGUGAUGGAGAAGGACGUAGGGGUAUUACCUCAUCGAGGGCCCUAAACUUGGGUAAAUCGUGUCCCUUGUGUCCUUGUUAGCCGACGAGUUCGCCAAAACACACUCCUUUUUUCUUGAUACAAGUCCAUCAAUAUGGACAUUGUCGAAGUCACAUCUUUGUCAUUGGCGCCGUCUGUGGGAAAGAAGUGUGUUGGAAACAUGACCUCGGCGGUUUCAGAUUCUUCAAACCCGUCGUCGACUCAGGCGGAGUACAUGACCUUCGGGUCCUUUCACUUUACCGCUCACCCUCCUGCCAGCCGCGCGGUAUUCAACGCGCUUGAUACUAGCGUGGAUCUCGUGUUCAGGGAGUUCCAUCUCCGAGCCGACCGAACUGGCAUCCUUCGACUAUCAGAUCUAACUGCUCCAACUCGGAAGAAGACGCUUCUUCUUUCAGCUUCAGGUAGGAUCCCGCUGACGGAUCUGGCGAAACCACGCGGAGGGCGAGACUCCCUCCGGAAUCGAAGCCAAUUCACCUUGUUACGCAGAAAGCCCCAUCCCAAGCGACGCUGGCGACUGCCUGGAACAAGAUGGCUGUCAUGACAGCAGCAACCCUGCGCCCGAGUGCGCCAUCACCCAAGUCUUCAUGACAAAUCAUGUCACCUCAACUCCUUCGACUGCAGAUAUGAUUGUAAAUCCGCAAGGUGGUCAUCCAUCAACGGAGAAGUCGCGGGUUCAAGCAGCCCUUGACUCGGGAGUUCUCAUGGAUGACCCAACUCCCGCAGAGUUUGAAUUAUAUGCGAACUCCUUGGCCAGGAACCUCUUCAACUUGGUCAAAGAAAAAGAAGAGUUUGUUAAGCAACAAAAGCUCGAAGCUGACAAACUCAAGAAGAUAGAAGAGGAACUUCAAGGGUCCAUAAAGGCUCGGCCGGAGUCAUCCGACACCUUGGGCAGAAGCGCUCCCCCUCUUCGAAACGCCCAUCGCGGGUCUCGUUUCCAUAAAUUACCCGAGGAAGACAGAACACAUGCGGUUCGUGAUCUCUCCUCAAGUUUCCUGUCAGUGGAUGAUCGCAACGAGGCGACACUUGGGAUUACUGAAGAGGCACUCCGCGCUGCGAGUCCUCGUCUACAGUCAAUCCCACUGCCCAACAAUGACCCGCGCUGGCGCGUCCGCGAGCAAAUCCUUAAGGGAUUAGCUAAAGCGGGAGCUUCGUGUAUCAAGCAAAACUUGACCGCCCUGCCUCAUAAGGAUGACGAGCUUCAGCAUGAUCGCCGAAUGCCUCACUCGGGUCAAAACGAGCACAGGCAAAACCCUCACAAAAGGAGUCAAUCUCCUCACUGAGCCGAUAGCCGCCUAGCCGGCUGUGGAGAGGACUCUCCUGAUUCAAACCACGAAGCGUGUGGAGUGCCAUGCUUCAGUUGUCGGAUUCGCUGAACUAGGAUGCCAAGAAAUUUCAAGCCACCUUCUAACCUAGUCAAAUAUGACGGAACGCAGGAGCCCAGAAACUGGUUGGAGGACUACCUCACUGGGGAUCGGUGCCAAGGUGGAACUCGAACCACCGCUAUGAAGUAUCUUCAAUCCCAGCUCAGGGGUCCGUCUCGCACCAGGUUAAAAAGCUUGCGCGACGGCGAGCUCACUUCGUGGGACGAGCUGGUACAAGCUUCCACACGGAAUUUCAAAGCCACGUAUAACCGACAAGUCUCUCUCGAACAACUCUGCUUGUGCAUUCAGUGUGAGGGAGAGUCUAUCCGCUCCUAUAUCCAGCGAUGGACCAACUCGAAGCACGCCUCCAAAGAAAUCUCAGAUGAAAGUGCCAUAGACGCAUUCAAACGAGGCCUUCGUCGACUCGAGCUCAAAGAAGAAUUGGGUUGCGUUCGGCCCUCCACCAUCGGAUAUCUAAUGGAAAUUGCCAAUCGAUGGGCGGAUGGAGAGGACUAAGUUCGCAAUGAACAAGGUCGAUCCCCAACUAGCAACACAGAUCGCGCAUUCGAGAGACGAAGGAAAAGAAAGGGUCGCACGCACGAAGAACUAGCCUCGCCUGAUCUCAUCGCAGCCACCUCCCACGUGGAGGGUAACCGCAGCGGCAAAAUCCGCGAGCCGAAACCUCAGUGGCGACGCAAGGGAGGUCAACCUGCGCUCUCUCAGCAGUUGAUGGCUCCUCGCCCGUUCCAUGUUUACAAAGAUGAACAGGGCCACAUCAAGCCUAGCCAUCCCUUGAGGGAGUGUAGACGAUUCAAGGAGUUACACCACGAGCUCACCAGAACGCAACAAACAAACUCAGAAAUGAGUCAUCUCCAUCACCCCGGCAAUAGGGCCACGAUGACGACAUCAGCGACUCCGGUCAUGGGAGCCUCAUCGGCUCACGUACUACAGGCUAACCUGGUCGAGGUAAUGAACCACUCUUCGGGGCAAACACUUGCUGUUGUCGAGUCGUAUCCAGCGCCAGCAGGCCACGUCUGCAUGAUUCAGAACAGCAGGCCAACGAACAGGGUUCAUAAGUUAAUAACCCGACAAGUACAUAUGGCCGUGGCCACGCCACCAGCAGCGCCACAGUACCUUGAUUGGUCUGAAACGCAAAUUAGUUACUUUCGAGAAGAUCACCCUCCCAGGGUCCCACGACCCGGACACGCUGCCCUGGUGCUCGAAGCCUAGAUCGGUGGGUACAUAAUGAACUGAAGCGACCGCCGCCAUACAGGGUUCGAUCUCUGUGCUUAUAGUGCUAGUCCCUGCAUCGACUCGCUAGCACACACAGUUUCAAGAUGUAAUAUCAAGAUACAAAGGUCAAAAGUAUAUUACAACGCAUUGAUCCAGAAUUUAAUAGUACCUUACAUAUUGCAUAACCUCAUGGGUUAGCUCAAAAGAAAAGAAAAUCUUGCAGAUGAUGGCAGAAGAUACAGAAGUCCCAUAACAACUCCACAGUCGAAACAUGUUGGAAUGUAAAUUCGGAACCCUAACAAUUCGUACCUCACUCUUCACCUGGUUCACGUGCAACAUUUAAACGUUGCAGCCACUAGGAGGUCAAUACAUUGAAUGUAUUGGCAAGUUCACCAGAGGUUAUAAAAGGACCUACCAAGUACAUGCAUAAUUUGACUAGGUGGGGUUUGGCUAUUUGCAUAAAAGCAUCAAUGUUUCAUCCUAUCAUUUUUAACCAAAUAGUUUUAUCUCUAUUGGACAUGGGGUAGACACACCCAUGCUCCUAUUAACCUAGAGCACAUUGAGUAGACACAUAAAUGCUCCUACCCAGUUCAAACCAUUCAUUUUAUUAGGAAAUUGAAAUGAGCGAGACUUUCCUUACAGCCCCCAAAUCUAGUCGCUCAUAAUUGUCCGUAACCGGGGACACGGCUAAGUACUUAGUUUGACACUCUCGAGAGGUUGUACACAUUCCCCACAAGAAACCGACGUGUUAAUCCCUUGUUGUCCUCAUGGUAGAGUAGCAACGGCAUCGAUUACAAGAAUUUUCAGACCAUAAUCAUCCAGACCACCUGAGGGACCUACGUUCCCACCUACACGGCUACAUCUGCACAAUCCCUCGGAUCCAGGAUCAAAUGUCUUACUCCAUCUAGCCAGAGCCCAUUUAGCAUGUGGUUAUACUGGAAGCUACUAAAUAGGAAACUAGUCCAGUGUCUGGUUACCCCGGGUGGCAUCCCACAUUUGCGACGCAGGCGCUCCCAUAGACAUGGCGAGACGACUCAUAGAAAUGGACCUGACAUCGCAUACAUCUCAAAUACUCAAAGAAGCCCACUCAGGAGGGUUCAUUAAAUUACUUGUUUUGCCAUACACUAGGAAAACAUAACUUUACUCCAUAAUGACAAUAAUAUCACAUUGUAAUAAUACCACAUAGCAUAGCAUUGGACUACCUACGAUGACAGUUGGUGGUAAGGACAUGGCAAGGGUAUCCUAUACUACUAGGAGAAUCAUAGCUAGCACAGGUACAAUAAUAAUCCUAACAAUGCAACUAAUCAAAUCUAGUACAUAAUAAAAUAAUAAGAUAAUGGUCAAGGUGAACUUACCUUGAUAGCAGUUGGUAUUCAAACACUCCUCGCAAUCACACAGUUCGCUCUCCGAGUAAACUAAACGAAACAAACAAUGCAUACGUAAACAUACAAUACAUCCAAAAGAAUAUAUGCCAUGAUGCAAUGCAAAACAUGUGACAUGAUUUGGUUGGUUUUAUUUGGAUAGAUAACCAAGUUAUAUUUCUGGUCCAAAGUAUUAGCAAUUAAGAUUUAGUAUACUAGGUUAGUUGCACAAUACAAAAACAAACGAUUAAAAUCCUAAACAAGGAUUUAUUGGCAUCAGCCAAUUUUAUUAAAACAAAAAAAUUAUUUCUCUGUCCCAAUGAACAGAGAACAAUAAAGCAAAUUUUUGGGCACUGGUUUCACAUAAAAAGGAUUUUUGUCGACGCACGGUGCUUCGACACCGGGGGCGUGCGGUCACGACCCCAUUUUAGGUUCGGCAGGGGCGUCGGGGUUCGCCCCGGCGAUCGCCGGCUCGGCCGAUGGGCCUUGCGGGGCCGGCGGAAUGAUGUACUAGAAGUGCGCGCUGAUCAAAGAACACAUGCACGCAUGUUUUUACCUAGGUUCGGGCCACCCGGAGGUGUAAAACCCUACGUCCUGCUUGUCUAAGCUGAUAUUGAUUGCUUAUGAAGUGUUUACACCUUGCUGGGGGAAGGUCCCCGGGCUCUCUCUAUCUCUCUUCCUUUGCGCACGCUACCUGCUACCCAGAGCUAACCAAACUUGCGAAUGUGGAGCCUUUGAUCGGAACUGGAACUCACCGGAACUCCAACCGAGCAGAACUUGAACCCUUUAACCCCUUUUUACCGCUGGCGGGGGUCCUCCUUUUACACUCAAGGGGAUGCCACAGGUGCCACGGUGCAUGGGCUACAAAUGUCGAGCGGAGAGGCAUACAGUUCUCCCUCGGUGAGCUGGUGGCGCGCAUGGACGCCACCUCCGCCGCUAGGGGUCUAAAACCCUAGAGUAGGAUUGGACAGCCACUGUUCACUUGACUUGGACGGGUAACGCCCCUCCUAUCGGCUCAUUUAAUGAGCCGUGCGUCUUACUUCUUGCCCUGGUUGGGCCACGCACCACACGUCCGCCACGCGCCUGCGUGGCGCUGUUGAUCUGCUCACUGGGCCCCACCCUUGAGGCGGGGGCAUGCUCCCGGGAACCCCCUAUCCCGGCAAGUCGCUCCCCGGGAAGCGCCCAGGCCCAACGCACCCGGGAACCUCCCCCCGGGAAGCAGCUUCCCGGGAGGUGCCCAGGCGGGAAUAUUCCCCGAAGCCCCGCUAGCCCUUCCGGGCUAGUAGCUUGCAGGGCUGCUCGUAGCCGCUGCCCGGGAUGGAACCUUCCCGAGAACUCGGGGACGGGGCCCACGCGUCGCGCAGCGUUGGUACUCCGGGUGCCACUGGUGUGACAGUAGCCCCCAGGCGUGGGCCGGCAUCACCUGUUCCCGGAUGAGUCUUCCCCAGGUCGGUUGCCGGGCGACGCACUCAACCGACGUGUGGGCCCCGAUUUGCCGUGGGCCCGCGUCCCUUCGUUGCCCCGUGUACGGCACCGUUACAGACGGAGUAGUGGGCGCGUGAUUUCCGCCCUAACUCCCUCCCUAAAUAGGGAAGUUAAGGCCACUCCGCGCAUUACUCCUAAUGAUUAGGAGUUAUUCCCGCGCACCCGUAGGGUACGGAACCGGCCGUUACCAAACGGCCAGGUGUUAUAAGGCUCUUACUGUUGCCAAAAGGGGAAAAACACUCUGCCCCCAUAGCCUUCGUCUUCAUCCCCUUCCGCAUCUCGCAUCCCAGCGCUCCUGCUAGCUUUUGCCCUCGCUCUCCAUGGCACCCCCCACCACCAGAAAGGGGAAGGAGGUCCAGGUCUCAAAGAAAGCUGCGGCCAGCAAGAGUGAGGUGGCACCCAAGGCGGUCGCCGCCAAGGACCAGAAGAGGCGGGAGAUGCGGGCCACGGUCCCCUUCUACCACCCCGGCUACAACGGCGAGGCGCUGGGGAAGGUCCGACACGCCGUCGCCUCCAACUUCAACGAGCACGGGGAGACGCGGAUCUUCCCGAUGGGCGUCGAGCACCAGGACAACAACUUCCAGGUGUUCGCGUGCUUCCUCCUCAGCGGCCUGGUGCCGCCCUUCUCACUAUUCCUCCACGCACUGAUGGAGUCCUACCAGCUGCGGGUGGCGCAGCUUCACCCCACAUCACUGUUCCUCCUUGCCACCUUCCGAUUCCUCUGCGAGGCGUUCGUGGGGGUGAUGCCGUCGAUGGGGCUCUUCCGCCACUACUUCUAUCCCCGCAUUGACAAUGCGAAGGCGAUGUCGUUGGGGGCAGUGUUUCGCGCCCGCGACCAGAUGAAGUCCGAGUUCAUCAUCCAGUCGGGGAAGAAGAUCGAAAAGGAGUGGCGGAGCGAUUGGUGUUGGGUCCGUGUGGAGGACCCCCAAGUAUUUAUCCAGCCGCCCACGGAGCUGCCGCAACCCCAAAACGGCUGGCAAGACAGGUAUCACCGCGACGCCGACCUCCUCCCCAUCGUGGAGAAGAUCAAGGCGCUGCGGCUAGCGGAGCUCCCCGACGUGGACGUGGCACGCACCUUCGUCCACCGGCGUAUAGCGCCGCUUCAACUGCGCUCCCGGCCCGCAUGGAUGUACACGGGCCCCGGGGACAGGACACGCCUCCAGCAGGACGGCGUGGACUUGGAGACCCUCAGGACGUGGGUGAGGGAAAUCUCUGGCGAGACCUUCCAAUCAACGCAGUUCCCGGCGGGGGUUUCCUCUCUUCACGCCGUCGUUACGGCGCUCAAGGACAUCGUCGGCGCCUUCCCGCCCUGCGACGAGUGGGGGUUGAUGGACGACACCACAACUCGGGUCCUGCACGCUCCCCUGCAAGCACCCCGCGAGAAGCAGGUGCUCGAGGAGAGCGGGGGCGGAUCUGAGCCCAGCUGGCCCUCCCUCCAGUCGCUGGACAACGAGGCGGGCCAGGCGGCUGCGUCCCCGUAGGUCGUCCCCGUGGACGACGACGAUGAAUGCAGCGACAGCGCGCCCCUGAUCGUGAGGAGAUCGAGGGCGUUUGCAGCAGCCGCAGCUAUCUCCUCGACGACGACGUCCUGCCCGACAGCGGCCCCAACCUUGCGGCGGCAGCCGCUUCAGGGGCGCCCGUCGGUGCCUCAGCGGCUGCCCCCAGCAUCGUGACGGCACCUGCAUCCGCAAGGGUCGCCGGAGUCUCGGCAACGGUCUUCGCCCCAGUAGCGGGAGCCUCCCCAAGGUUGGCUCCCGGCACUGUGGUGGCAUCACCGUCAACACCCGGGACACUCCGGGUCGCGACGAUCCCGCGGGCGCGUACGACGCCGCCUGCUCGACGGGUCUUCCGGGGCUUCGCGCUCCGGCGUAACCCCCCGAAGUCCAACUCGCCGGCAGGUGCCAACAAGAGGGCGAGGAGCAAUUCCCCGCCCAACAUGCCAAGCAAGAGGGCGCGCGCAGAUGCCAGCGGCGCCGCCGACCCCUCCGCCACAGGGGUCGGCCGCGACGCGAUCGCGCCCGAUGACAGCCCAGCCCCCACGGAGGCAGGGCCGGCAACCGGUAUGUCUUUUUCACUUCUCCGCGGCUGCAUUUUUUCAGUUGUUAGUCAAACUCAUGAACGUACCUCUUUCUGCAGGGGCGGCAGCUCGCCCGCGGCAAGCCUCUCGGAGGCUCCCGCCAGCGCAGGCGAGGCAGGAGAGGCUCCCCCUACAAGCCCGACAGCCGCGCAAGGUAAUCAUCCUGGCCACCCUUGUCCGUUUUUUACGGCUCCAUUUCUCGCCGAUCCUCAUGCUUCCCAUCAUCGCAGGCACAAGUGCGCCAGCACCUGGAACGGGCGCGACCGUCGCCGAUCUUGACCCGGUCGUCGAAAUCGCGGGGGCGGAGGUGGAGCCGGAACCGGCCCUCGCGUCGAGCCCCACCGCGACAGAGACAGUGGCCGCGGUGGACACCGCCGCCACUGAGACGGCGACUGGCGCGGGCUCACCUGCCGCCUAGCUGGAGACAGCCCCCGCCGGGAGCAGGGAGGCCUCCCCAGUCCUGGGGUCCCCGGGCGCAGGCGCAGGGGAAGUUGCCGAGGAAGGACAGCAAGACCCCCGGGAGGAGGCUGGCGACCUUGCGCACAGCCCUACAUCGGCAGCGGGGGCUUCGUCGUCCUCGGCUGCUCUCCCCGGUAUCGACCUCGGCACCCUCGCCGGGGUCGCUAGGAACCCCAUCAUCUGAGAUUCGAGCAUCUUCGAGCGGGGGCAGCGGUUCCUAGACGCCAUCAGGGACCAGCAACAAGCCUUCGUCACCUCCUUCAACGAGGUGAGGGAGCACCACGCCGCCGCCAAGAACCAACUUGGCGAGGUGCGGGAGGCCGUGGAGAGGGAGUGGCAAGAGCUCUCCCGGCUGUGCGAGGAGGCGCACCUCGCUAGGGAGCAAGCGCGCCUCGCACGGCAGGCCCUGGAGGACGCCUCGCAUGGCAGGCCCCGGAAGGAGCAUGCCAAGGUGCUCGCUACGGCCCAGGCGCGGCUGGACGAGAAGAGCGACUUGAUCGCCAACUACCGCGGCGAGAUCCAGGGCCUUCGCGUCAUGCUGGAGGUGCAAGUCAAGGCUACCGAGGACGCGGUGGGAGCAGCGGCUCAGCACGAAAUUGAGCUCGGUUCCGCUAAGGACAGAGCGACCAGGCUUGAGACCGAGCUGGCCGCCGUCCGGGAGGAGUUCGCCAAGGCGGGCGAGGACAAUGCGGCCAAGGCCGAAGAGCUCAUGAAGCUGGCGGGCCGCCUCAGCAAGGCCAAGGAGGUGGCCGUCAACGCCCGGCUUCACCACGGCAUGCUGAUCGGUCAGCAGAAGAUCGAGACCGACAAGCUGCUCAAGAUUGCCCAGGCGCUGCGCGAUCUGCUGCCCAAGUUCGAACUGCAGGCGGCGAAGGUGGACGGGACGGAUGUCACGACGCUGAUCCCCUUCUUCGUCGACUUGGUGGGGAAGCUUGGGGCGCUCGAUGUCUGGAUCGCCCAGUCUGGCGCCAACGAAGUCGCCAACUGCACUCGGGACGUUGCCGGGACAAUUCUCCCGCGGAUUCAUCUCCGGGACCCAGAGUUCCCCUUCGAGUCCCUGCUGGACGCUUGGUCCGACAGCGAGGACGAGCCCACGCACACCCAAGCUGUGCGUGAGUUCGUCGACGAGGUGGUCGAGCGGAUGCAGAUGAAGCCGGAGCUCGACCUGCCCAUCGAGCCUCCGGCCGGAGACGCCAGCAACUAGUUGCCGCAACCCCCAGCCGCUUUACUGCUUCUUGAUGUAUCUUCUUUUGUUUGCUUUCUCUGCAAGUGUGGCAUUCAACGCCGUUUGAACAUUUAUUCUCUGAUUAGCCCAUGUAAUCGUUCGACUCUUAGUCAAUCAAGUUUUUUAACAUGUUCAUUUUCCAGUUCUUUGUUCUCGGUGCUGUCCCGCGGGGCGGCCCUACAAGCUUUUGCGUGUUUUGCCUUGUGUUGCAGGGGGCUCGCGUGCCUCACUCUUGACCAGACAAGGGACCCGGGACGGACCCGCGGUGCCGACCUGGGGCCAAGCGGUAGCGGAGAGCCACUCCACUUGCAGGGUAACUACUCCAAACCGUGCCCUUCAGGGACGGACCCGAGAAGCCACACAAGGAGCGCACUCGCCCCGCAAGUGUCAUUCUAACACUCCGGCUACGCGCAGGAUCCGGCCCCGCAAGUGUCGAUUUCGUUCAGUUCUUAACGAAUUCAACGUUUAUGUUCAAGCACAUGUUGGGGCUGUCCAUCACAUCAUUCUCCUAAUGAUAUGAACUCAUUAUUAGAUGACAACACAUGUCCGUGGUUAGGAAACUUUAACCAUCUUUAAAUCAACGAGCUAAUCCAGUAUAGGCAUAUUAGGGACACGGUAUUUGUUUAUUUAUCCACACAUGUAUGUAGUUUCUGCCAAUACAAUUAUAGCACGGAUAAUAAACAUUUAUCAAGAAUAAAAAAAUACGAUAAUAACAAAUUUGUUAUUGCUUCUGGCGGGGCAUAUUCCUGACAAUAUCUCUGUGAUCUAUGUCCAGAGCCUACACGAGAUGGAGUCAAGGCCGGAUGGGAGGCACUUGUUGUACAGGUCGAUCAGCCGUUUGGUCUUAGGAUUGUACACCAAAUCAUAGUCAUCUCCAACCUCUCGGCAAAUCAUAGAAAACUGUGUAGUUUGUACUUUAGAAACAUUGUACAAACAGAGACGCUCACUAACGCGCACAUACACCCACCCAUAUGAGAGUACGCACGCAUAUUUUAUCCAUAUUUACAGUACUCACCCUAUCUUAUCUUGAUUAACUUUUUCCGGAAAGAAAAAUAUAGCCCCGUAGCCUCUGCGUCUUCGGAUGCACAAAAUCAUAACUGUAUUUAAAAUAUGGCCUUAUCGUCUCCUUCCUCCGGCUUAACACCGGCGGUCUGUUCAGGGUUCCAAACUCAUAGUGGCAACUAAACACGAGAGUUGCGCUCGUCGCGAGAUUUAACCCAACACCUUACGGCACGAGCUGACGACAGCCAUGCACCACCUGUGUCCGCGUUCCCGAGGGAACCCCUCUCUUUCAAGCCCUGGUAAGGUUCUUCGCUUUUUAACAUUAAGACCAAGCUCUUGGCCAUAAAAAACAGAAUCCAUCAUGUGGCCUUAAGACAUCCGCCUUAUCCAAUAUCUACCUCAAACCCAUGACCGGAGAAUAAAUCCGCGGUGGAAUACCACGGACCUAGUAAAAAAAAAUUAUGGAAAGCCCCUACCAGACCUAAUAACAUUAUGAUACUUCGAGAUAACAGCUUAUAGUAGAGACCGUCACUCGUCUGCCGAUCAAUCAUGACUCCAAACUUAGGGCUAUCACACCCAAAGUGUAGAUCCGAGGCGACACCUUCAACAAGGAUACAACGCACAUGUGCGGUACUGCCUGAUUUAGGAGAAGCUAGAUCAUAUAGGCAUCGGUGAGCACUUGCUCACACAGAGUACAACGCUAGCCAGCUCUUGGUGCCAAUAAGCCAUACCCCUCGCCGGGAUGGAGAAACAGCAAGUGAUAUUCUUAAAGCAUGCUAAAUUACCCUUUUCAAAGUUUUGAGGAGGUGUGUACUCAAGCAGGCCGUCUUAACAUAAUUUUUUUCUUAUCUCAAGAUAAUCUGGAUGACUAUGCGUUGCCCUGAGACAAGAGGCGAUGCUAGGGAUUUGGUUAUUCAAGGGUCAAGCGAAGAGCGUUCUGGAUUGGAGGGCUGAAGUGAUCGAGCAAUAGUACUAGCAAUUUCGUCAUUUUUACUCUUAAAUAGUAGGGUUUUUAUUUCUAUGCCCCUCUUUCCUUACCCGUACUCAUUUAUACCCGAGGCCAGAAACAGUGCUCGCUACUAUACUUGUUCGACCGUUUAGUUCUGACGGGUGGGCCGCGGGGAGUGCUGACAGGUGGGCCCGGAGCCAUGGUUCUGGCGUGUGGGGCUGCGAGGAGACAGUGCAAGCGGACAUGUCUUAACGGGUCUAGUUACCUUACAUGCGGGCCACGUCCUGAUAGGUGGGGUCGGUCCACUUAACUUACAUGUGGGGCUCUGAAAAAAAGUGAUAGGUGGGUCCGUCGCCUAUCUCUCUCAUCCCUUUCCCAAAUACGCCGCCGCCCCCGCCAAAUACGCCUCCGUGCUCGCCUUGGCUAUGCCGCCGCCUGUCGUGGUGGUGCCACGGCAGAUGCCAUAUGAUGGCUUGAGUUGGGACCGACGGACGAUGGUGAAUCCGGAGGAGGGAGGACGUGAAGAAGAACACGCACGAAAACACGCUUGAACACGCAGAUCUACCCAGGUUCGGAGCCCUCUUGCAGAGGUAAAGCUUCUACUCCUGCUUGUAUGGAUAUGCCGGGAUAACAGAGAUUACAAGGGUGCUCCUAGAGCUGUGUUCUUGAGGAAGAAGAAGAAGAAGAAGAAGAAGAAGAAGAAGAAGAAGAGGGAGACAGGAAUCCUAGAGAACUCUCCCUUCACCGCAGGGGGCGAGGGUCUACUUAUAGGCGCCACAUGGCUCGCCGUCAUGUGGGCCGGGAUCGCCGUCGCUAUCUACGGGCCCUGCCGGCACGCAGCGCUGUUCCCUCUAGGCUGUACUGUGGGGGACAAAGCCACUUUACUUUCUGCCGACUCCGUUAGGGAAUUUUCUUUCGGUGCUUCCAGCGCAGCGUGGCCUUCUGACAUCCCGGUGCAGGCACUGACUGCUUUCCCGGGGCGACGAUGGCUUCGCCUUUUCUUCGCCCGCGUGGUCAGGAUAAGUCCGUUGAGGGAUCUCGGCUACUGCCGAAACUCUCGUACCCUGCAUACUUUACACAACGGAACAAUUGUGCGGGCAUACACUAGGUAUGCCGGCUUAGCGUUAGUCGAACUUGGAGAUGCCGGCAUAAUUAUCCGAGCCGGCCUAGCCUCCUUUAUCUCGGCUAGAACGGUCUUUGUUAACUCGGCCAGAGCGAUGUCGUCGUGACCUUACCCGGGGUCAUUCCCCCGACACUAGUCCCCGAAGCUGGUGCGAUCCGGCAUGGAAAGAUGUCGGGUGGUGACAGCUUCCCACAACAGAACACCGACCGUUUACUCGGUUUUAGCUGAUACAAAUGCCGGGGUAAUUUCCGGUUCGACUAGCCGAGACUCAUUCAAACCGGGACUCCGAGUUGAGACAUCCCCCAACUUCUAGCCGAGAUCCUUCUCUCUUUACGACUGAUAACUGGAAACUCCCAUUUGUUGGGACAACGGCUGCCAACGGGAAGAUAAGGCUCGAACUUCUGCCGUCGUGCUCUUUGAGGCGAACCUGCUGCUGUGCCGGACAAUUGUGCCGGUUAACUAUUAAGGGUGACCUUGAUUCCCGAGCGGACAGAUAUACGCCGGGUAUUGCGGGAUUCUCGACCGCACGCUGCGUGGUAACCGAGCGCAUGUCUUGAUGAGCAUAAUUGCUCAUAUCAUGGGCUGAUCCCCCUAGCCACUCGGCGGAUAUCAUGGGAAACGUGCCCCCAUUACUCCGCCUCGGCCAUAAAAGGGGACAACGGCGUGAGGGGAAACCCCUUCGCGUUCUUUGCCAUCUUCACCCUUUCGUCUUCCUUGCGCCCCUAAGCUCUCCGCUCCUCGCGUGCUUCGCCGGCGCUCCUCCGGGCAACCCCGUCGCCACGGUUCCUCGCCUCCGAGCUCGCCACCACCGCCGCUUUGCCUGCAAUCCCUUAGGCUUCCGCCUCGGUUAGCCUGCUAGCUUCGGCCUCGCGCGAGGGCUUUCUCUUCCAAAACCCUAGAUCUGUUUCUUCCGUCCAUGGCGUCCUCUUCCCGUGCUCCGGCCACCGGCUCUGCUGCUCAUACGGAGGAGAAAACCUCCGAGUGAACCGCGUGGGACGGCUCCGAGGUCACUUCGGCUGACCUCAAAUGGCUUCACAAUACUCGCCGAAUCCCAAUGGGGGUCCAGUCCCGGCUUCCCGGCGGCGAGGUCGUCCCCGCCCCCGAGGAAGGUGAACAUGUCGUCUUCCUAUCUCAUUUUGAGCGCGGAUUCGCCCUUCCGACUAGCGAUUUCUUCCGUUCUUUCCUUGACUUCUUUGGUCUCCAACCUCACCAUCUCCCGGCGAAUGCCAUCCUUACUCUCUCGGCCUUCGCCACUUGUUGCGAGGGUUAUCUCGGCCUUUGGCCAUCCAUUGCCCUGUGGUCCCGGUACUUUAUGUUCCGGCCGCAGGUUAUCCCGGAUAAGGAGAACCCCGGCGCACCGAAGAUGAUGACACAGUGCGGGGCUGCCACCAUCGUUCCUCGUCGCAACUCCAAGUUCCCUAAAAUCCAAGGACUCGAGUCGUGCAAGAAAUGGCACCGGACCUACUUCUAUGUCAAGAACGCCACCGCGACCGACUAUAUCAACCUUCCAGAGUUCGAGAUCGGCCCCCCGGAGGAAAAAAGGAAUUGGUCUGUCGACUCCAAGGACUCCCUCCCGCAGACAGACGAGAUCCAUGCCCGGAUCCUCGAACUCAAGAAAACCGGGAUGUCGACUGACGACCUCCUGGCCACCUUCAUAUACCGGCGCCUGUGCCCACUUCAGCGCCAGGAUCACAAAAUGUGCCACUACGGCGGUCAGUUUGAUCCGGAUAGGAUCUUGACCGUCAAGCUUUCACACGCGGAGGUACGGCGCCGGGUCAGAGCUAUCGCCAAAACCAGUAUGCCGGAAGACUGGUCGUGCAGUAUGCCGGCAUAUGCCCGGAAUCGUCGUGCUCCCAAGGUAAGUUUUAUGUUUCUGCCGCUUCAUAUCUGUAUCCGAAAUACAAGUAUGCCGGCUUCUAUCUAACAUAUUCUUGUCCAGUUUAAUCUGACUCCCUUGUGUAGAGUUUUACCCUUCAACGCCAAGAGGACGGGAACUCCCCCGACAAACGCUUUGCGCCACCACGCAUAACGGCCGACAAUGAGGACCCCGACUCGAAGGACUUCAUGCCAAUCUCGCUUGCGGUUCCUCGUCGCCUUGAGCGUAAGUACCCCUAUACUCUUUUGUGACUGCUGAACUUUCGUCAGUAAGGUGAGUUUGACUAUCUUCUCCCGUAUUCAGCCGAGUCAAGCGAGCCUAUUGCGGAGGCACCUACUUGGGAGAAACAUGCCGUGCCGAAGAAAAGGCGUGCCUCCGAGACAGAACUUCCGCCGAAAGUAAAGCGGAAGAAGAUAGCGGCUCGUGGGCCCAAACCCAAACCCCUGGUCGUCGGGUAAGGCCUAGCUCACCUCCACUACCUAUGUCGGCCUUCUUCUUUUGUUGUUCAGUAAAAAAUUUAACUUUCUUCUUUGCAGCGAAGCUCUGGAUGCCACUCAGUCCCAGUUGUGCAUCGCGUCCGAGAUUCCGUCUUCUCAACCUUCCCGCACCGAAUCCUCUGAGCCGGCUGUGGGCGGGAUUGAGACCGUCGCGGAUCCGACAUCUCCAGCCCGGGAUAUUGAUCCGAGUACCAACGCCCCCGUCGCCAGCCAAUCCGAGAUUCCUACGGCCGGGGUCUCGGCCAAUGAAAGUGUUACCGAGCCAACGCCUUCCUUGGUCGCAACGAAAACCACCUUGGAGGCACCAGCCUCCGAGACUCCGCAAGAUCCGGGAGCGGCUCUCUAGGACCCCCAAGGCCCGGAACCGACUCCAACUCAAACCCGGAUACCAACUCCGCCGUCAUCUCCAACGCACCCGGAGCCUACUCCUACUCCUGCCCGGAUUCCAACUCCGCCAUCAUCUCCCAAGCAAUCGAAGAAGACUACCCUGGCUACUGUCGCCCGCGCCGCCAAGGCUAAAUGCCCCGCUGCCAUAGCGGGAUCGAACGCUUUAGCGCCAGCUGCCUCGCGUCGCUCAUGCCGGCAACAUGAUAUCCCGGUUCAGACGAGCAGCGGGCAGAGCUGGGGUUCACUUGGCCAGUUUGUCACGGACUGGAACCAGGCGGAUUACUGCGAAGUGACCUCCAGCACCGUGCAGGCAGCACGACAAAACCCUUUGGUGGGGCAACCACCGGCAGCGACUCCGGAGUCCUUGGCGGCCCGGAUGUACCAAGCUCGAGUGGCCAUGUUCGAGGCAGACCGAGCCACCGAGGUACGCAAAAUUCCUUGACAAAUCUUAACUCCGAGCUCAAGUAUAGUAUCCAUACUCCUAGUCCCCGAGGUUCAGGGUGGGUAAGAAUUAGUCGGCCUAAAGCUUAGCUUGUGGAACUUCAAACCCUUAUUCCCCUAGGUUCAGGUCGGGUUUAGAAUAGUCGGUCUGAAGCUUAGCUUGUAGAACUUCAAACCCUUAUUCCCCUAGGUUCAGGUCGGGUUUAGAAUAGUCGGUCUGAAGCUUAGCUUGCAGAACUUCAAACCCUUAUUCCCCGAGGUUCAGGUCGGGUUUAGAAUAGUCGGCCUGAAGCUUAGCUGUCUGUUUUGGUAAUCUUAUUUGCACCCUUUGAUCUGGCAGCUCUGCAAGAAUAAACGCUCAGCAGCCUUCAAAAGACUGUUGGGCAUGUAUAAGAAGUUGGAGGCAUCGCACGAGGCCUUGAAGGCGGAGCGCGAGAGCCAGAGUAAGUAUAUCCUACCAGUAUACAAUCUUUGUCCACGUAUGCAUAGUAGACAUAAGUUGACAUCUGUUCUUGUCCUCAGCCAAAGACAACGCUCAAGUGGAGGAGCUGCUAAGGCGCAUCUCCGAGUUACAAGGUAAGAAUCUGCUCGCAAUCCGAGUUUUACUGACCUUGAAUGUCGGCUCCUGUAACAUUUGUUCUAGCUUACCAGAUGAGAAGACUCGGCUAGUCCGAGCAACAUCAGAAAGGGGUCGCUCAUCUGCAGGCUGAGAUGACUGCGCAGGUCGAGGCGCAUAAGACCGAGGUGAGCCAAUUCACCUCGGCCCUCUCCGCUCGAGAGGAAGAGAAGAUUAGUCUGGAGGGCGAGGUCAAGAAAGUCAAGGAGGCCGCCGCCGCGCUCGAGACUCGGGCGACAAUCGCCGAAUUGGAAGAUGCCGAGAAGGCGGGCCUGAUCGAGACUCUCAAGCGUGAUAUCAUCACGAUCGAUACCAUACUUACAAGUAAGUUGAACCUUUCCAUGUAAUUACUUGCUUGACCGGUAGCACUGUUAUUCCGAAACUGAUUGGUUGUCCGCUGCUCUUGCCAAAGUGCUUCCCCCUAUCUGUCGAGCAUGCCCAAGCGACCGUGAUAAAGGCUCGCAGGAAAAGGGACCCGUCCGUGGGAGAGGUGUUUGAGUGGAACUUGGAGGAUUACCUGGUGAGCAUCAUGAGCCGGGUUAAGCCUCUCAAGGCGUUCGGCAUCGACAUGGUGGAUGCCUGCCUCCGACUCUUCAAAGCCCUAUGGCCCGGGGAGGAGGUGCCUGAGGAAAUCUCAGAUUUGGCAAAGCGGCUGGCCGAAGGCCCAUCCCGGCUAGAUGAAUGGCCGGAGUCUACUGUACGCGUCGGAGCCGACGAGGCUUUGUCGUUCGUACUUUCUUGGUAUGACGGCAUUAACCUCGAUGUGCUCCAGACCAUGCGUGCCGACUCUCGUUAUCUCUCAGACCCGGAGCUGGUUGCUAAGAGCCGGGAGAGGGCUUAUUCUUUUAUCCCCUACGCCGACGUGCACAAGUUUGUCCAAGGCCCUCCCUCAGACGCCGACACCGAGGCGACAGAAGAGGAUGAAGAAGCGGAAGACGAGGGAGCUGCUGCGGAGUCGGCCUCCCCCGAGCCGAGUUCCGGUAUCAACAAUCCGGCUGCAUCAUCGUAGUAUGCUUGCACAAAAACCUUAGAAUAGUUAGAUCCCCGGGAUGCCGGGUUCAGAUGUAACCGAAAUACUCUUGUUUGUUAAGUAGCCAGUUCUUAUGUUAAUGAAAUUCCUUGUUUAUCAUAAACCCGGUCGAGUCCCCGAGUACCUCUUUCCUCAUAGCAAAAUUUUACAACCUUGGUUCUUUUGUCUGCCUUGUCGGCAUUCGACGUAUGAAUCGCAAAGUCAUAAAACCACCAUUCGGAAAAAGAUUAUUCGGAAAACUUGCCAGGCAACGAAAAAAGUCAAAAUAACUUGCCGAGUUAAAAAGAAGCAUAUCUCGGAUCGCUUCUUUGCUUAUUUCCUUAGUCGUUUUUCAUGUGCGCGGUUAUCUCAUACCCAUUUCUAGCUUGCCAUGAAGCCGGACUGCGGACAACAGCGAAGUCAUAGAAGGGUGUUGUCAAGACCGACACAGUACUAAAUCAACCGCAAGAUUACGCAAUUAAGCCAUGCCGACAUACAAAAUAACAAAGGCAGCAAGUCACUCAAACGACACAGAAGUCCUCGAGUUUCAUUUAAGAGCUCAGCGGAUAAUUUCAUUGAUAAUUUCAUUGUCUUAAUUGAAACAUUCGUCAUAAGGAAAAAGCAAUAUGAAUACGAUAUGAAUACUCAGCUUUCAAGUAUAGAACGGACGGAGCAAUGCUACAUUCCAUGGCCUCUUGGUCUCCUCACCCGACCGGUCUAUCCUGUUCACCUUGGGGUCCUGAGCAUCUAUAAGAUAGUAAGAAUCGUUGUGGAGCACUUUGCUCACGAUGAAGGGUCCUUCCCAUGGAGGUGACAAUUUGUGCAUGCCGGCCGUGCGUUGUACAAGCCGGAGGACAAGAUCUCCUUCCCGGAAUACUCGCGAGCUGACCUUUCGGCUGUGGUAACGCCUUAGGUUCUGUUGAUAGAUGGCCGACCGAGAUAAAGCCAAUUCUCGUGCUUCUUCGAGUAGGUCGAUAUCAUUUUCUCGGGCCUCUUUUACCUCGACCUCCGUGUACAUGGUUACUCGCGGAGAGUCAUGUUCAAUGUCGGCUGGUAAGACGGCUUCUGCCCCGUAUACGAGGAAGAAUGGCGUAUAGCCUGUAGAGCGAUUAGGAGUUGUCUGAAGACUCCAAAACACAGCCGGGAGUUCGUCCAGCCAGCAUCCCGGGGUGCGCUCUAGUGGUUUGAUUAGCCGGGGUUUUAUGCCGGCCAAGACCAUGCCAUUUGCUCUUUCCACUUGCCCGUUGGACUGAGGGUGUGCUACCGCAGCAACGUCUAGUCGGAUUUUCUUCUUGGCACAGAAACGUGCAAAAGGCCCCUCCGCAAAGUUCGUUCCAUUAUCCGUGAUGAUACUGUGCGGGUAUCCAUAUCUCAAAAUGAUAUCUUUCAAGAAUGACACCGUUGUUUUGCCGUCACACUUUUUUAUCGUCUUGACUUCGAUCCAUUUAGUGAACUUGUCGACCAUUACCAGGAUAUGCGUCAUGCCUCCUCACGCUCGCUUGAACGGUCCUACCAUAUCCAAGCACCAGACAGCAAACGGCCAAGUGAUUGGGAUGGUUUUAAGUUCGGACGCCGGCAUAUGAAUUUUGCUGGCAUAUCUCUGGCAACCAUUGCACUUCCUGACUAAACCUUCCACUUCCUGCAGGUGUUUCUCCCUCAGGGAGAUGUUGGAGAAAUGAACUCAUUUUUACAUUUGGAUUUAAAACUUUGUCCAAAUCUUGUAAAUUUGGCACACUAAGCACAUUUGGUAUGUAUUGCAUGUAUGCAAAAGCCUUUUCAAUUUGGACGUGUUUUCAUAUUUUUUGACUUUCAAAUUCAGUUUUGUUGUGUUUCGGCCAAAAUGAUACGACAUACAUGAUUUGAAGUUGUGGAACAACUAUUGGAAGUAUGCAAACAUUGUUAGUACUUGACUCCUCGAACAAAAGUUCAAAAAAACUCUUUACUUUUGCAGAUUUGAAUGGAUUUGAGUGGAUUUAAAUCCUGGUCAACGCGAAGUCAACUUUCUCAAAUGGGUUUAAAAUUUCAACUGUGUUCUUAACUUUUCAUGUACUUUCUAUUGGUGCAAUCAGAAAAUAAUUUGAAGAAUGUCGAAUCUUGGGGGUUCUUCCAACUGCAGCCAUUUUGCUGUGCUGAAAUCACUGUUUUCAUGCACAAAUAGGUUUCAAAUUGGACCGAACCGGAUGGUAUCCAAUUUUGCUCGACUUUUAUAGUCCAGACACAACUUUUCUUCAUCGAUUUUCUCAUCAUUCUGUUUAGUUCCAUGGGUUUAUCUACUUUUCAUAAAUAAACUCAGAAAGUCAAAGAAUGUACGAAGAUAUAGUAUCCCAAGUCCAGAAAAUCUCAUAUUUGGUGAAACACUUGUGAUGCACUCAUAAAGCUGUCUAAAUCUUCUGGGAUUAGUAUUGCACACGUUUGACAUCAAAAAUGUGAAAAACAAUCAAAUUUUAGUGAAUUUGAUAUACAAAAAUUAGCAAAUCAUUUCAGAAAUGAAAAUGAAAUGUUCUAUACCUUCAUUACUUCAUUACUAUCAUUUACACUUAACUCAAAAGUAUAAAAAUGUUAAUAAUAUUAAAUAGUUGUCCGAGAAAUAACCCUUAGAUCCAGCUAAGAUUUCGAUUCCCAGUAAAAAAAAUAGAAUAGAAAAAUAUGGGACAAAAAAUAAAUCCACUUGGUUUCAGACUUGGUACAACCCAAAAACACCAUUCCUUUUGGUUCGCACAACCAAAAAAUUAUUCUGAGGGUCUACAGGAAGAUAAAAAAAAUAAGGAAUUGUAUCAAGAACUAUAUACAAAAAAAUAGGAAAAAGGGCUCGAAUAGAAAAAUAGAAUCAGACUCAAGUUCGGAAGUAAUUACACAUAAUAGAAAAAUGGACUCAGGUUCAAGUUCCGAAGUAAUUACACAUAUAGAAAUUCAAAAAUAAAUUGAUACAAUCCACGUCAUAAUCCAUAUAGGAUUUCCAAAUUUAUUAAAGAAAAAGGGAGUAAUCGAAGAAUUAGAGAAAGAUCUACAAAAAGAAAUUAACUCUGUAAACCAGAGACUUAAUAUUUCUAACGAAAAAGUUAACGAGCCUUAUAGACAACCUAACAUUCUUGCAGAAUAUAUAGCUUUUCAAUUAAAAAAAAAUUAUGCAAGUGUCAAUUUGUAGUGAUACUUCAUCACAUAAAAAAUAUCAGAGCAUUUUUCUAAAUUUCACAAUGUAUUUCAUGUACAUUGCACCACAUAGGGAGAUGUUGGAGAAAUGAACUCAUUUUGACAUUUGAAUUUAAAACUUUGUCCAAAUCUUGUAAAAUUUGGCACACUAAGCAUAUUUGGUAUGUAUUGCAUAUAUGCAAAAGCAUUUCCAAUUUGGACGUGUUUUCAUAUUUUUUGAAUUUCAAAUUCAGUUAAAUUUGUUGUGUUUGGGCUAAAAUGAUACGACCUACAUGAUUUGAAGUUGUGUAACAGCUAUUGGAAGUAUGCAAACAUUGUUAGUACUUCACUCCUCGAAGAAAAGUUCAAAAAAACUCUUUAUUUUUGCAGAUUUGAAUGGAUUUGAGUGGAUUUAAAUCCUGGUCAACGCUGAGUCAACUUUCUCAAAUGGGUUUAAAAUUUCACCAGUGUUCUUAACUUUUGAGGUACUUUCUAUUGGUGCAAUCAGAAAAUAAUUUGGAGAAGGUCGAAUCUUGGGGAUUCUUCCAACUGCAGCCAUUUUGGUGUGCUGGGAUAGCCAAAUGUGGCUAUUUUUCCAUGAUCAACUAAAGUCAACCUUCACAAAAUAAGUUGGAAUUUGGUCAUCUUGCAUAAAUUUUCAUUCGGAUUUCAUUUGUGCAGUCUGAAAUCAAUUUGGAGCAAGUUCACUUUCUAAGCUUCCUCUAAAAUUGUCCAUUGGGUGGGUUGGGACAGCCAAAUGUCGCUAUAAAUUCACUGGUCAAGAAAAGUCAACCUUCUCAAAACAUAUUGAAAUUUGGUAAUUUUGCAUAACUUUCCAUUCGCUAUACAUUUGUGCAGUCAGAAAUCAAUUUGGAGGAAGUAAAAUUGUGAAAGAAAUUCAUAAGAAAUGAUAAGUGCCGAUAACAGUACAUGCCCAGGUUCAGAUAAAGAGCAACAACCUGCUCUUGAUCAGUACAAAUAUGUAGUCUUCGAACAACAUACAUCAAAAUCAACAUGGAUUAAACAGAGCACAACAUCAACAUGGAUUAACCCCUCCUUUUGGAGGACCUGAGCCAUCUACAGCGUCAGCAAAACAAGGAAACUCAUGGAGGCGAGUGAGAUCUCCUCGCCGCAUUCCAGAACCACCAUAGUCCAGAUAAGCUUCAUCAUCUGAAGAAGAAUCAGAGUAGUCCUAUUGUUGUGGUCAGAACCAUCAGUAAGAAGAUGAAACCUAUCGACCACUUCAUGGACGUGGACAAUGACCCCGAACGACACAGCACUUCUGGUUCUGCCCCCGCUGCAAUAGAAUCAUCAAUAAGCUCAUCCGCAUAUUCAGGAGCUGGUUGUGUGGCCGAAGUAGGCACUCUCAUCAGCAACCGCUUCGGGAUGGCACAAGGAUCACGCAUCCAUGCCCUGAGCUUCACGCAGCGCGGAUCAGUCCUACGCAGAAUUGCCACGAACUCGCCUCCUAGCUGAUUAAUCAAAUUCUUCGCAAAUUCAAGCUCUUGCGCAUCCUCCAUCAAUCCAUCCAAACUAAGAACACAGCUAAAAGGCAGUUUUGAUUCCUCUCCACGGAAGAUGGAGCUCCAAGGGCGAAACGACAUGUCACCGGCAGAGCACC
rnacentral:lncRNA from 1 species